GGGCCUAGUGCAUGAGUUCAGUCCAAAACAAUAGCCUCUCAAAAUUUUGUUUUAAAAAAAUCCCUAUUUUUUUGGUCAUGCUCUCACUUAAGUGAGAGCUCACUUAAGUGAGAGCGUGACCAAAACUUGGGGCCUCAGUGCCACUCUCAGUUACCAUCAUUUUGGGUUUCUGGUCUCAGCAUGUCAUUCAUAAAUUACAGUGUCUUCAUGGUUGCAUAUUUAUUUCAGCUUUAGUCAUUCCAGUUGAAGAAAAACCAUUUGACAUUCUAGCGAUGGCUGUAUGCAAACAUUCAAAACUUCUGAGAGAAUACAAUGCACCAGGGAGACUACUGUUAUGACUACUGGGAGGAUAAUACCAAGAGCUUGAAGUAUGCUUCUUACCCAGGGUUCCUAUAACCAAACCACCUAAAAUCAAUAGAUCAAAGAACGAGCUAGAUAAAGGGUCUACUCACUUAACUAAGCAGUCUCUUGGCUAAUCUCCUACAAAUGAAUCUCUAUACUAUCCAAUGUUUUCUCCACAGGCCACAAGUGCCAGCAGCUGCACAGAUACUUCUAUUUAGUAAAAAAGGACCUAACAAAUGAGGCCCUUCUAGAAGAAUGAAGACCUUCUGGCAGCAUUCUCUUUAACCCAUGAUGGAGGCUAAGAGGAGUGAACCAGUGUUCUGUUCCUGGCAACUAUGAGGCAAUGUAUGUACCAUUGAAGUUUCUCACCUACACUGGGCUUUCGUCUUUUAUUUAUCAAGGUAUAAAGUUACAUAUGUAUAAGGCUGGCUGUAAAACCCUUCACAGAUAAAAGUAUACUCUAUAAGUGCAAACAACAGACCCUCUUUUCACUUCUAUUGUUCAUAGAGGAAUAAGAAAGGGUAAAAUAUUCAAAGAUAAGAGUCUCAUGAUAGUAGAGAAGUCUUGAUCCAUGACCUUGGGAAAAGCUGUUCACAUCAGGGAUGCCAUCUUUUCUGGGGAGAAAUUUAUGUGGUUAGUUUUACCUUAAGGGUUCCAAUGGGUGUACAGUUCCAAGAAUGUGGAGGGACCCUCUUCAGUUGUGAGAUUAUGAACCCAAAGUUCAAGGUCCCAAAGUUUUGUUGCAGUGUGGAUGGCAAGAGCAGUCUUUCUCUGAUGUUCUCAGAAGAUCCAAUCGUCGGGUUCUAGACUGUGAAGGAGCUGAUUGUCCUCAGUCAGUGAACCAUAAAAAGCAUUCUUUACCUGGUGAAAAUAGUCUAUGGCAUAAUAAUCUACUGUUAUAACAUCAGCCCUCUUGCAUGGGAAAGCUUUUUUACAAGCAGAAAACAUGUAUUGAAAAUGACAAUUGAAUGAAAUCCCUCUAUAAAUUUUUAAAUGGCCCAUCAGGUAGCCAAAUGUACUGAAGCUUUGAUUGUCUUUCCAGGAAUAUGGGUUUAACCAACUAAACAUUGGUCAUAAACUAUUUUAGCAAUUUAGAAGUCACCGAACCAAUAUAUAUUUAAUUUGGAUCAUUUUAUCUAUUCCAUGAUGAGUCAUGGAAUGCAGAACCUUUAAUAAUAAAAGCUUUAAGGACUCAGAAAGGGCAAGGCAGCCAUUCUGGUUCUCCAUGAGUCUAUGCUUAACAUUGGAUCUAAGUUCUCUUGAAUACCGGUCAUUUCUCCAAUUUAGGUGCAUAGUACUGAUAACUGAUAGGUUAUCAUAGGUAAUUUGACUUAGACCAUGGAGUUCAUUCAAAUUGUAUAUCUAAACAAUUUCAGUAUCAGCUGACUUAGCAUAAAAAUCUAGCUAAGUAUUUUCUUGGUAUUCAAUUAAUUUUUGUUCUAUUUGGGUUAGCAGUUUUAUAAACCAGUCAGUCUUUUCAUUAGAGACUGGAAUUCUUACACAGUCCAAACGAUGAUUUUAAAGUUACCAGAAACCUGUAUUCAAGAGUGCUUUGAAUACAGGUUUCCUUUCCUUCCUUUCAUGAACCUCUUAGGAGAUACCAUAUUCUAGGAUUUUACAUGCUUGUGAAGUUUGCAGAAACUGCAUCAGCAUUAAACAUCUAACUGUGGAAAUGACUUUAAACAGUCAUAGUUAAAAACCCAAUUGACAAAAAAUAUGGUCAUUUCUGUGGUCUACAAUAACUUAACAUAAUAAUCAUAAUUAUGAUUGAUAGCAUAUGCUCAGACAUGUUAGAAUUUUAGAAAUCCCAUAUAAUUUUGGAACAUAUAUUAAUAUCAUUCACUAAAACAUAACCUGAAGAACAUUAAACAUUAUUUUUUAUUUUGGCAAUGCUUCCCGUGUAAUUUAACAUGUCAAAUAAUACUGUUGACCUCUCUUUUGAAUGCUUCGGGACCCUUUGCAGCAUCUCAAGGUUAGAGGUUAGAAAAGACAAUUUUGAAGGUGAAAUUUGAUUUUUGAAAGCCUAUUAAAUACGUUAAAGGUUUAAAACACUUGAUAUUAUGAAAUAGAAUUCCAGGUCACCAUUCAUUUAGCCAAAGUGAUGACUCAAAAAUUUUAAAAAGGCAAAAACCUUUACUCAUUGAUAGAAGGAAGACUUAGCUUUCCAAACAAUACGUCUCUUGUCUUUUCCUUCUUAUUUUUGGUAGUUUAUUUAAAAGGGAAACAAAAUUUUUUUAUUAUCACUUAAUAUUACAUGAAAAUCUUAUUCAAGAGAGAAAGUCAAAUUUCACCCUUGCAUUAGGGUACUAUUAAUGUCAAUCUCAAUUUUUAAUAAAACCUUAUAGAUAAAUCUAUUCAGCCUUCAUCAUCAAAAGGUGAGAUUCUCAUAAACCUUUUAUAACCCUUUACAAAUUCUUGUUAAAAAGCAAGUCAGUGCCCUAAGAAAACCCUGUUGUGUUUUUGUUCCAAUGUUCAAUUUAUGGAAAAUACUGAAUAAUACUCCUUUAAUGUUAGCCAAUGUGUUUACACACAGAAUUUCUUUUACGAGAUCGAUUUUCACAAACCUUCCAUAACUAGCUCAAACCUUCAGCUUUAUCCCAACUAAAAGCAAUCCUUUAACCCUUUAAUCUAGGUCAAAAAAAAUCCACAUUAACAUACCUUCAUAUACGCUUUCACCAAAAACACAUUUCACUUCCCUUACACACCUUGCAUGUAAAACUGUUUCUUCAGUAGUCUCAAUUACAUGCUACAUUAUUAACUCUUAGCAAUUUUGAAAAAAUGGUUAGUAAGCAAUUUUAAUUAUGUACUAGGUUUGGAGCCUAGAACACCAGACAGAAGUGCAGGUAAGGUCUGACUUUUUCCAGCAUAGCUAGGGGUAUGGCUAACGGCUAACUCCAUAUGUCCCCAGGUCUUACCUAGCUGUAAAGCAGACAAGCUGAAAAAUUUUCAAAAGCCAAAGAAGCGGUUUAUGACAUUAAAGCAUUGAGUAAACCUAAUAUCUGACCUGUGUAAUUUAGACCAAAUGUCUUUAUUUUACCAAUAAUCUUUAAAAUUGUUUUUAUUUUCCAAAGAUUACUAAAGUCACAUGAACUAAAAGGCAUUACACUUUUUACUUUUCUGACAAUAUAUGAUUUAAACACCUAUUAUUUUUAAGCCAACUAAUCAGAGCUUUUUUACAUAUAAACAUCACACACACAGCACAUACAUAUAAAUACACAGACAGACAGAAGAUCCAGUAGUUGUAAGAUUUUUAGUUUACCAGUUUCUUAAUUGGAUUACUGGCUUUAGGGUGGUGCCCUUGGAGGAACAGAAUCAGGAAAUCAUGCAGUUUCCACAGCCUAAUAAGUGGGCACAGCUGGAAGACAAAAACAGAUCUCCAAAAGUAAGG
rnacentral:lncRNA from 10 species